rnacentral:rRNA from 1 species
AUUGAACGCUGGCGGCAGGCCUAACACAUGCAAGUCGAGCGAGCGGCGGACGGGUGAGUAAUGUAUGGGGACUGCCCGAUAGAGGGGGAUAACUCCUGGAAACGGUGGCUAAUACCGCAUACUAUCGGCUAACCCCUAUGGGAUUAGCUAGUAGGUGGGGUAAAGGCUCACCUAGGCGACGAUCUCUAGCUGGUCUGAGAGGAUGAUCAGCCACAAUGGGACUGAGAAACGGCCCAGAUUCCUACGGAGGCAGCAGGGGGGAAGAUUGCACAAUGGGCGCAAGCCGGAUGCAGCCAUGCCGGUGUGAUGAAGAAGGCCUUAGGGUUGUAAAGUACUUUCAGCGGGGAGGCGUUACCCGCAGAAGAAGCACCGGCUAACUUCGUGCCAGCAGCCGCGGUAAUAC